GUCCCCCACAUUGGAACUGAGACACGGUCCAAACUCCUACGGGAGGCAGCUAGUGAGGAAUAUUGGUCAAUGGGCGAGAGCCUGAACCAGCCAAGUAGCGUGAAGGAUGACUGCCCUAUGGGUUGUAAACUUCUUUUAUAAAGGAAUAAAGUCGGGUAUGGAUACCCGUUUGCAUGUACUUUAUGAAUAAGGAUCGGCUAACU
rnacentral:rRNA from 1 species